rnacentral:rRNA from 1 species
UACAGGGGGUGCAAACGUUGCUCGGAAUUAUUGGGCGUAAAGCGCGCGUAGGCGGCUACUUAAGUCGGAUGUGAAAGCCCUUGGCUCAACUGAGGAAGUGCACCCGAAACUGAGUGGCUUGAGUACUAAAGAGGGUCGCGGAAUUCCCGGUGUAGAGGUGAAAUUCGUAGAUAUCGGGAGGAACACCGGUGGCGAAGGCGGCGACCUGGGUAGAUACUGACGCUGAGGCGCGAAGGCGUGGGGAGCAAACAGG